rnacentral:rRNA from 1 species
AGAGUUUGAUCAUGGCUCAGAAUGAACGCUGGCGGCGUGCUUAACACAUGCAAGUCGCACGAGAACACCGAACUUCGGUUUGGUAAGUAAAGUGGCGCACGGGUGAGUAACGCGUGGGUAAUCUGCCCCUGAAUUUGGGAUAACAUUGCGAAAGCGAUGCUAAUACCGGAUGAAGUCAUUGAAACUUAGGUAUUGAUGAUGAAAGAUGGCCUCUACAUGUAAGCUAUUGUUUGGGGAUGAGCCCGCGUACCAUUAGCUAGUUGGUGGGGUAACGGCCUACCAAGGCAGCGAUGGUUAGCUGGUCUGAGAGGAUGAUCAGCCACACCGGAACUGACACACGGUCCGGACUCCUACGGGAGGCAGCAGUGAGGAAUUUUGCGCAAUGGGGGAAACCCUGACGCAGCAACGCCGCGUGAGUGAUGAAGGCCUUCGGGUCGUAAAGCUCUGUCAAGUGGGAAGAACCCUGUGUAUAAUAAAAUGUACAUGGCUGACG